rnacentral:tRNA from 1 species
GGAAUUGUGGCUCAGUGGUAGAGCACUCACCUAGCACAUGUGAGGUCCUGAGUUUGAUACUCAGCACCA